UACGUAGGGCGCAAGCGUUGUCCGGAAUUAUUGGGCGUAAAGAGCUCGUAGGUGGUCUGUUGCGUCCGCUGUGAAAACCCAAGGCUUAACCCUGGGCUGGCAGUGGAUACGGGCAGACUAGAGGUAGGUAGGGGAGAAUGGAAUUCCCGGUGUAGCGGUGAAAUGCGCAGAUAUCGGGAGGAACACCGGUGGCGAAGGCGGUUCUCUGGGCCUUACCUGACACUGAGGAGCGAAAGCGUGGGGAGCGAACAGG
rnacentral:rRNA from 1 species